GGGCUCGUGGUCUAGUUGGUUAUGACGUCUCCCUGACACGGAGGAGGUCUUGAGUUCGAAUCUCAACGAGCCCA
rnacentral:tRNA from 2 species